rnacentral:rRNA from 1 species
UACAGAGGGUGCGAGCGUUAAUCGGAAUUACUGGGCGUAAAGCGUGCGUAGACGGUUAUUUAAGUCGGGUGUGAAAGCCCCGGGCUCAACCUGGGAAUUGCAUUCGAGACUGAAUAGCUAGGGUACGGUAGAGGGAAGUGGAAUUUCCGGUGUAGCGGUGAAAUGCGUAGAUAUCGGGAGGAACAUCAGUGGCGAAAGCGACUUCCUGGACCAGUACCGACGUUCAGGCACGAAAGCGUGGGUAGCAAACAGGA